UGCACAUGGAUGUUUGUUUCUGACUGUGAGCAAGAUCUCCACCGGUGAUGGCAUGUGUGGGUUUGGGUGUAGGGAGGUGGAGGGUCUUCCAGUAAGCUGUUGCAUGUACGUGAGGGUAUGUGGUUACGGGUGAUUUCUGAGGAGCUGUUGCAUUUCUGCACGCGGUGAUUUGAGGAGGUGUACGAAAGACAGUCUCCCAGAUGCAGUUGCACGCGUGUGUUUGUGUGUGGAUGAAAGGUCUCCCCCACCUCCUGUUGUAUUUUGACGUGUCCAUUUUCUUAGCAAACACUGCAGGGGCAUGUGUCAAGGUGUAGUUUCCCACGGCUGUUGCACAUACCUGUGUCAGUAGGUGUACAGUUGUUGCAUGCGUAUGUGUGUGUAUGUAGCUCCUCAGGAGCUGUUUCUUGUACCUGUAUCGUUCCUAGAAGCUGUCGUAUUUUCAUGUGGGUGGCUUGAUUCUGAGAAGCUGUCGCCUCUGUGUGUGUGCGUACGCGAUUCCCCAGCAGCUGUUACUUGUGCGUGUUCCUGGGAAGCUGUUGUAAGUUGUGUGUAGCUCUUCAGCAGCUGUUGCAAGGAAAUUGUGAGCGUGUGUGUGUGUGUGCGUGCAAUUCCCCAGCAGCUGUUGCAUGUGUGCUCAUGUCUCCGGUGGAGGCCCACCCCUUUCUGCCUGCACCGGAGUGGUGGCUGUGCAGGCGAGGAGAGCUCAGAGCUGGCUCCAUGGGAGAGGGUUCUUCGCCCGUCACAGCCUUCCCAACUGGGAGAAGCAGUGCCGGCUCCGGUCCCAGAGCCCUAUCAGCCGAGCCUGUGGCGAAUUAAUCACUCGUGUUUUAAAUGCCAAUACAGCCCUUUCUGCCUUCUUCCCCCAGUGAUGCGGAUGCGGCGAAGGCAGCAAAUCCUCCGGCUGUGCGUGUCCUCCCUGGACUGCUGCUCCGUCCCCGCCUGUCGUGCUCGCCUGUGUGCGUGGCUGGGAAUGCUGCCUAGGUGCAGCCGGGAAUGAGAAAGCUGUGGGGCAGGGGACAGCACAGCUCCGAGGGGUGACACAAGGUGGGGGAUACACCCCCCCGCCACGCACACAUCCGCAGGGCUGCAAGUUGCUUGAAGACAGGGGUCUUUUGUGCCUCCACUUCAUCUCUGUCAUGCCUCGUAUGGAAGCCGGGAGCGAUCGCCCCUCCAGAAGCAGAAGACGAAGUCGUUCGCAAUGAAUCCAUGGCAGCUUCGAUCGAGCGGUGAGCUGGAGCACCUACUCACAGGCCACUCCUUGAUGUGACCGAAGAGAGGCCUUUCCCAGCGCUCGCUGAGGAACGCAGAGCCCUGGAUUUACCUCCCGCGCACCCGGGCACCCCCAGCACAGGCACGGCGAGCUUGGAAACAGUCUGGAGCAAAGUUUGUUUCUCACUGAACAUAUUUGCAGCACCUAGGAAACCAGAGGCCCAAUAUCAGUUGUGGCCUCCAUGUACUCUGCUACUAAGACCAUCGAAAGAGGCAGAGCAGUGAAUACGUGGGAAAAAAAAGAUUGAAAUCUGGACUGAGCAAGAACAAAGGAAAGAUUCCAGUGACAGAUGGAUCUCUCUCGUGCGCACUUGCUCUUUCCCUCUGUAUUUUUUGUUUUCGACAUGUUUGAUCUGAAGCUCUGAAGCUUCUCGGAGGGAACCCGGGAGAGAAGGAGGAGAAGGAGGAGGAACUGAGGGAGCGUGAGCGACAGAGGAGGCAGCCCUGCCUUGUUCUUCCAAAUCACACCGUGGAGGGGCGGGGCAAGACUAGA